UACCUUUGAAGCCGCUUAGGUGAUGUAUUCAGAUAUUCGUCUGUUGCAUAAAAGGGAAUUCGGUCAGAAUCCGAAACAGUGCCCGCUACUGUGAAUUCCAUAAAAUUUUGAGUAUCACCACUGCCACUGUCACAAUGAUGGGAAGGCCUCUCAAAAUGGAACAAGUCAGGAAACCUGCCUAGCAUGAAUUAAUAGA
rnacentral:ncRNA from 2 species